rnacentral:rRNA from 1 species
UGAACGCUGGCGGUAUGCCUAACACAUGCAAGUCGUACGAGGGUUUUUAACUCUAGUGGCGGACGGGUGAGUAACACGUGAGAAUUUGCCUUUAGGGAGGGGGAUAACAAUCGGAAACGAAUGCUAAUACCCCAUAUGCUUUUGAGUGAAAUGGAUUUAUCCGCCUAAAGAGAAGCUCGCGGCUGAUUAGCUUGUUGGUAAGGUAAGAGCUUACCAAGGCGACGAUCAGUAUCUGGUUUGAGAGGACGAUCAGACACACUGGAACUGAGACACGGCCCAGACUCCUACGGGAGGCAGCAGUGGGGAAUUUUCCGCAAGUGGGCGAAAGCCUGGCGGAGCAACGCCGCGUGAGGGAGGAAGGUCUUUGGAUUGUAAACCUCUUUCUUCAAGGAAGAAGUUCUGACGGUACUUGAGGAAGCAGCCUCGGCUAACUCCGUGCCGAGCAG